rnacentral:lncRNA from 1 species
CUCUGAUGAACUGAAACGACUGCAGCCUUUUUGUGCUAAACACCUCAUGAACACAGAUCUUGCGUACCUCCCUCCAGUAAUCGCCGUAUGGCGCAAAACCUAUGUCUUGGUGAUUGUAUGAGAAUUUUCCAAGUCCAACUAAGGGAGGUCGACUGCAACAAUCAAUAUCAUGAGUUUUCAAGAAUUCCCUUGCAGCUUCCGCAGAGGAGACUACGACGGUAGGGACACCGAGCUGAAGGAGUAUGAUGGGGCCAUAUUUCUUAGAUAGUUGCCACCAAGAGUAGUGAGGCAACGUACCAAGUUGGUGCAAAUUACCUAUAAUGGGAAGCUUAGUAGGGCCAGGCGGCAGCGGCUUCUUUUGCCCCUUCAACUCUAUUCUCCGUUUUAUGAGAUACAUAAGAGGGAGAAGCAGCAGAAGCAGAUGAAGCCACAUCGAUGGGGAAUAGAGUGCCAUAGGAACUUGCUAGCUCUAUUAAUCUUAGGUGGGUUGUAGAUACACUACAAAAAGAUACUUUUAUAGUUGCGGUCCUAUCCUGCAGCUAAAAUUAACAAAAAAUUGUGACCAUAUAAAAUUUAGAUAGGGAUAAAAUAGAGCAAAGCUUAGUCAUAGACCAUAGAGGGUGCAGACAAAUCCUAUGGCUGUAGCCACUUAUAUAAAACUGCCAGUAGAAGAAGUUAAAAAUUAUUAAUAGGCUAUACAGGGUUGCAGUUUUCUCUUGGCUGCUACCAUAAGGCUCAUAGGAUGCACUUUUCUUGGCCCCUACUAUAGCUAAUUUAUGUGGACAUAAUUUAUUCACUACUAUAGAUCUUUAUUUUUAUUUAUUUAUUUUUUUCAAUGCCUUUUCCUAUUUAUCAAUUAAAAUAUUUUCAAGAGGAAAACCAAUAUCCGAACACAUUUACACACACACAAUUGCCAAUACUUUCAACGUUAAUUGAAAAUAGAAAAUGCAAAAGACUUUGAUGAGCUGUUUUGCUGAACCACUGGCAAAAAGUAGUAAGCGAGCACUUGUGAGCAUCAAUUGCAAGGUAGGCACUUGCCAUUUCUCACCAGCCUGAGAUGCACUCACAAAUGGUUUUUGGUGUGUGCAGGAUGAGCCAUCACUCUAAUGCUAGAAGGCAUUCUUGAGGUUUCUCACCACCAUGUCCUUUCCUCUUUCAGUUCGGUGUCCCGCUGAUCUGAUCUUCAGACAACACCAAGGUUCAGUCUGCGAAGUAAGGGACUCACCAAUGUUUCCUUCAAACAAGACAAAAAGAAACGGAAAUGGAUCAUUCUGCCUUUUCAUUUGUGUUUCUACGUAUGACUCGUGGUGAUCACCUGAUGGAAUUUGAUCAUUCAGCGAAUCUCAUCGAAAACGGUUUCACAGUUCAGGGGAUUAUUGGUAACUUUGGAAUUAAAGUCUAUUAUUUUAAGCCCUUUCAGUAUUUAUAGUCAAAGCAAAAGAUGAAAGGAACAACAUGAUAUCUUCAGCUUCAGCUUUUACUUUUGCUCUUGACAAGGCUGAAACUGAUCCUGGAAUCAAAACUCACAUACACAAGUAGAUAUUUAACAGGAAAGGAUCCAAAUCCCUUCAAUUGAUUAAUGUAUAAAUGAAUCAUAUUGAUUGUUUGAAGUGACAACAAAAUUCUGGAAGAGGAGAAAGUUUGACACUGGAGAGCAACAAAAUGACAAGACCAUAAAUAAAUUUAACACCAAGUGCUACUGCCCCAAGAUAUCUAUGAUGCAUCUCUGAAAAAUUCAGAUAAUGGUCAAGAAGGCAGGCUCAUGGGACUAUCAAAUAACCAUUUGAUUUAAGAUUAAAAUAUUUUUCAUAUUUAGGCUCCAAGAAAAUUAAAAUAAAUGAAUAAAUCGUGAUGAUAAUUAAUAAAUAAAGAAAUAGAAAAUCAUCCAUAAAAUGUUAUUUGCAAAUAUUUCACAAAUUGAAAAAUUCUAUGCAAUUUGAACGAUUACUUGGUGAUCAUGCCGAAGUAAGCAAUGAGAAACUAUAUGUAAACUACUAAACAAAAAUAGAAACAGAACCUGCUAAGUAGAAACAAGUGUUUUCCGCUAGGAAACACAGGCCAAAAGAAAAAAGGGGAAAUGAUUCAAAAAUCAAUUACGAAAUAAGUGAUGUAGAGGCAAAAGGGACCUAAUGGGCCUCAUAUGCAUAUCCUUGGAAACAAAAAAUUUAUCUUUCUACAUAGUCUAAUGAUAAACAACAUAUUCACCCACCUCUCAUAGGAGGUGGGGCAGUUGUAUAUUGUCUCCACAUACACCAAACCUGUUUCUUGAUCACUAGAAUAAAUAGGAGGCAAUUAAUCAAGGCAGGUAAUGCAAAUCCAGACAAUAGAGUAAGACUGGAAGAUAGAGCAUACAUGUAAUUGAGAAAAGUGUUGUAGUUCUUGUCCACCUGAAUGCCAGCUAUUCAAGUACGGUAGAUGUUGGCCUUCAUCUCUAAAUUAUAAACAGAAAUGAGAUGGUGUUUGCUCUUCUUCUCCUACAAUGGACCUAGUUGUUUAAGAGACAUGGAGAUAGCUAGAUUUGGUAUAUACAGCUGUGUUUGGUUUUGUCUAAAUGGAAGUAAGAUAAGUCAAUGAGAUUUUCUAGAUAACAAUUGUUUUUCUUGGUGUUUUGAAUACAUUUCCUAUAUCAUAUAAGCUGAGUAAAAAUCUAGAAGAAGAAAGCCAACAAAAUUAUGUUGUACAAGUUGAUGCUACAUUUGGAUAUUAUUGCUUUAACGAUAAGUUUUGUUGUAAUAAUUAUUUCCUAACGAGAUGGGUAGGACUCCAGUUUGAACAUUGGGCUCUACCAACCCAACAUCAAGUCCAUGGGCAACUCGGGUCUCUAUGGGUUCUUAUAGGUUUUCGCAUCAUACCAAGAAAGUAAUUAUUUUAAAAUUUAUAUCAUGUAAAUCAUAUUAUCAAAAAAAAUGUUAAAACUAAUCUAUUUCGUAAUUAUUUUUAAAAACAGUUCUAGAAAACAAUUUUUAACAACUAUUCUUUGAUGUUUUAUAAAGUAAAAAUUUGUUUAAAUAUCUAAAAUAAAUUUUAAAAUAUGUUUUUUUUUAAUUUAAAUAUGUUUUUAAAAUAAUUUUUAUAUUUAAUAUUUUAUUUUUAAUCAUUCUACAUAUUUAUAUAAUUAUUUAAAAAAAAAUUGAAAACAAUUAAAAAAUAUUAUUUAAAAACACAAUAAAAAAUAAAAAAUAAAAACAAAUUUCUAAUUACCAAGUGUGUUCUCAAGAACAUAAAACUAUUUUUGAAAACAUAUACCCAAAAAACCCUAAAUAACUCAAAAUCAUAAAAUAUAUGUGUUAGUUUCUAAUUUAACAUAAAUAAUAAUCCAUAAAUUCAAAUUUCAAAGACCAAAGUUAAUUUAACAAUUAAAAAAAGUAAUAAAUCCAUUAAUCUAAAAUAAUUAAUAAAAAGCAAUAAGUCACUUCCUAUGAUAACUAAAAAGUGAUAAAUAUAAUUUAAUUUUAAAUAAUAAUAAUAACAAAUAAAUAAACAAUAAUCACCUUUAACAUAUGACAAAUUUUACUCUAAAAAGAGCAUUUGAUGAAACUAAAAUUAAAUUAUAUUUAAGUUGUUAAAUUAAAACUUAUUAUUUAAUUUUCAUUUUAAAUAUUAAAAUUUUUUGAUAAAAUUAUUUUAAAAUUUAUUUUAAAUCAUCAAAUUAACAUAUUUAUCCUCAUAAAUUAUAAUUAGGGUAAAGAAAGUCAAAUAAUAAUAAAGGUUGUGGAGUAACGAAAAAAAUCAUAGAGAUAAUUAAGAUAAAUCAUAAUAAAAAAAUAAUAAUAAAGAUGUAAACUUAAUAAUAAUUAAUUGUUUUUAUUUAUUAUUUAAAAUUAUUUUUUAUUUUAAGUUAUUUUAUCAAUUAUAUUUAAUGUAUUUAAUUACUUAUAAGUUGUAACUCGUAACACAGACACCCACUAAAUGGGAUUUUUGAUAAAAGUAUGACAGUUUUAAAAAAUUAUUCCUAAAUUACCGUAGUAGAAAAAAUAAUUCCAAAUUUAUGGUAAUUUUGUUCAAAUAGAAAAGAGAAAAUAAUUUGUAAAUGAAAAAUAGUCUCUUCAAAAAAUAAGUAAAUCGUAUCUUGAGAAAUGGUUUUUUAAAAAAGUGAGACAUCCUCUUUUAAAGAGACGAUUUAAAAAAAUAAUAAUAAAAAAAUUAAAACAAGUGAGAAAUUGUAUCAUUAAGAGGCACGAUUUCCAAAUAUAUAUAUAUAUAAUUCUCACAAAAAAAAAAAAAAGGAAAAAAACAAACAAGAUUUUGUCUCUUCAAAACACGAUUUCCACACAAAAAGUGAUUAAAAAAACCCCAAGUGGGCAGCACAAAAGUGAGAAGAGAGUAUUUUGGCCUUUCCAAGCUUGAAAAAGAGCACCCAACUAGGCUUUUCGUCUACAUUGGUAAUACGUUGAAUGCAAGUGUUAGGAAUGGGUUUCGAGGAUUUUGGUUGAUUUGUUUUGUAAGGGUAGUUUGAUACCAGAGCUUCAGGAUCCAGGGACUUGGAAGAAGUUGAUGAAGAGGUUGAGGAAGGAUGGGAGGAUUAUGGUUAAUGUUGGAGGGAGUUGUGUUGAGGCAAAGGAUUCAAGGAGAGAUGGGAAGGUGGUAAUGGAGGAAUCAUUGAAGGCAAUGCAUAAGGUCUUUGGUGAUCAGUCUUUGUUUUGAAUCUCGGAAACAGGAAGGAGGAUAGCUCCAUUGCUCUCACCGGCAAAUUGUCGGAUCUUGAUGACUGGAAGAAAGUUCUUCCCUAAUCUUUAAGGUUUUAUGUGGAUGUGGAUGUGGACGCCCGUCAGUUCCAAGUGUGACUGUUUCCAUUAACCACUCUCUGAGAAGAAGCAUUCAGGAGCAGUCUACUGAUGCAAUUCAUAUAUUUGUGUUUAUUCCUGUUAGAAGCAAUGUUUUUUUUUUCCCCGGAUUGUGCAAAGCUUAUUUAUGAGGUUUGAAUUUUUCCCCCACCUAAAAUCAUCCUCUCUUUUGUCUCUUUGUUCUCGAUUGGUUCAUUAGGGCAUCUAAGUAGUAAGGGAGUCAUAUGAUUGUAAAAUAGAUUUAUAAUAUAUUUUUAUAUUAAAUUAUAUUAAUUUUUUUAUAAUAUAUAAAUAAUUAAUUGUAUUAUAAUAUAUAUUAAAUUUUAUUUUUUUUAUUUUUUAAAUUAUCUCUUGAACAGACAAUCUCCAAUUGUUUAAUUUAAAUUAUUUUUUGGAAAUCGUGCUCUUUUCUUCAAAAUGAAAUUUCUCAUUCUUAGUAAUUUGGAAAGAGAUUUUUUUUUUUAAAAAAAAAAAGGGUCAUAAAUUUGAAGAGACUAUUUAAAAAAAUAUAUAUCUCUCCCUCCUACCUAACAAAAUCUAUCAUAGAUUUGAAAUUAUUUUUUUUAUUAUGGUAAUUUAAAAAUUAUUUUUUAAAAUUACGGUACUCUUGUCAAAAAUCCCCCUACCAUUCUAAGUUGACCGGUCGGUUUAAGUCAUGGGUCCUAUUUUCUUGCCUUCUCCUAUUGCAGCAUUGCACCACGUGACAUCUCCUUUUCUUUCUACCAGGUCCUUUUCCUAUCUGCAACGAUUUUCAUCAAUUUCAAUUUGGCCACAGAUAGUGCAAACAUUUUAAUAUUUUUAUUCUUUUUAUAUGGGAGAGAAAAGGGGAGAAAUAAAUUAAAUAAGUAUGUAAAAAUAAAUAAAUUUAAACUUCUUUUUAUUUUUCUACUUUUCUUUUCUUGUUAACAGUGAUGGAGAAUUGGCACAAGGUUAAGAGCAAACUUCUUACGGACAGUAAGGCCUGCUGCUUCUUCCAUGCUAAUAUCUGUCUCCUUCAUCCCAUUCGGCAAGUUCCAAUUGAAACGAUAUAAAAGAUUAGCAAGUGCGAGCUCCACUGUUGCAAUCGCCAUAUACAUACCCGGGCAAAUUCUUCUUCCCGCUCCGAAAGGCAGUAGCUCAAAAUGUUGUCCUCUAAAAUCUACAGAGUUGUCCAUAAACCUCUCGGGCAAAAACUCCUCUGGGUUCUUCCAGAGGUUGGGGUCUCGCCCAAUUGCCCAAACGUUUACGUGGACUUGGGUUUUCGGGUAAAAGUGGUAUCCGUUUAUCUCAAAAUGUGACAUGGUUUCUCUUGGAAGUAGAAGUGGGGCGGGAGGAUGCAGUCUCAAAGUUUCUUUGACCACCAUCUUGAGGUAGUGAAGCUGAUCGACAUCACCCUCCGUGACUUUUCCUUUAUUUCCAAUGGAGUUUCUAACUUCAGCCUGGGCUUUUUUCAUUAUUCUUGGGUUCCUAGCAAGCUCGGUCAUUGCCCAAGAUACGGUGAUUGCACCAGUGUCCACUCCAGCCAAGAAUAAAUCCUGAGGCACAUGUUAAAAGUAAGCAAAAGAACGCUUUAGUUCCAAGUAUACCAAGCUAAGCAUUAUGCCAUUCUUGGCUCAAAGAACCCAAGACGCAAAGUCAAAUUAAAUGAUUAUCGAUUGCCCCUUUUGUAGAUAGCUCCAAGGCAUUCUACGUAAUUUUGCGCCUUCCUCCUCCUCCGUCUCUCUCUUUCAAUGCUUUCAUAAUCAAACCAAGUCUUUAAAUAAAAAAAAAUAUUGGUUCAUAAAUUACCGGUCAAACCAGUAGGUAAACCACGAUGUAACGGGUAACAUUAUAAAUAUAUUAUUACAUAUUAUUAAAAUUAAAAAUAAUUAUAAAAAAUUAUAUAUAUAAUAUUUAAAUGUGAAUAUAUUAAAAAUGAAAGAAAAAUUAUUUAUUUAAUUUUAAUUAAUUUUAUAAUUUUAGAAAAUAUUAUAUGUUUUAUUUAAUAUUAUAAAUUUUUUUAGUAAAGAAUAUAUUUUUUUUGUUUGCCACAUGAAGGAACAAGUCGGAUGUAGUGGGGUGGUCUCUUAACUCAUUUAACGAGUUUAAGGUCCCAGCCCCUUUAAUGAUAUAAAUUGAGGGUGGGGAACUGGGCUUUAAUGAUAAAAAGGGAGGGAGGCAGAGGGAGGUGGACUCGGCCUGUUUCAACGAAUAAAAAGGGGUUACAUUGAGCUAUUAUUAAGCUUUCAAAAUGGGGAGAAACUCAAAAAAGAAAAAAGAAAAAAAUGAGACGGAAAAAAGGAGUAGGUUGGUGACUUACCAUAACGAUUGCUUUCGCGUUAUCUUUAGUAAACUGUAGGGCACUGGAUUCAGAUUGUUCCCUCUCUAUUCUCAGCAGCACGUCGAUGAUGUCUUCAUGCUCCUCUUUCACCCUUCCUGGGUUGAGAUGGUCUUCGAUCACCUGUUGGUAGAAGCCGUCCAUUUCAUGGAAACUCCUCUCAAGCCUUCCAUGAAGACCAGUGAGUCUAUCCACAAUCCGACCCACGUACGGAAAGAAAUCGGCUGCAGUGAGCCCGCCCAACAAAGCCAUGGCUUCAUGAACCACUUCUUGAAAUCUUCCGUCACCAAACUCACUCGCUUGAAAACUCUUUCCGAAUGCAAUCCUACAAAUUAUAUUUGCUGUGAGAGACAUUAGCCUCUCGGUAAGAUCAAUAGGACUUCCAGAAGAAGACGAUUGCACAAUUGAAUCAAUCAGCAAAGCGACCUCCUCUUCUCUGAUGAACUGAAACGACUGCACCCUUUUUGUGCUAAACACCUCGAGAACACAGAUCUUGCGUACCUCCCUCCAGUAGUCGCCGUAUGGCGCAAAAGAUAUGUCUCGGUGAUUGUAUGAGAAUUUUCCAAGUCCAACUAAGGGAGGUCGACUGCAACAAUCAAUAUCAUGAGUUUUCAAGAAUUCCCUUGCAGCUUCCGCAGAGGAGACUACGACGGUAGGGACACCGAGCUGAAGGAGCAUGAUGGAGCCAUAUUUCUUAGAUAGUUGCCAUAAAGAGUAGUGAGGCAACGCACCAAGUUGGUGCAAAUUACCUAUAAUGGGAAGCUUAGUAGGGCCAGGAGGCAGCGGCUUCUUUUGCCCCGUCAACUCUAUUUUCCGUUUUAUGAGAAAC